AUCAAAAACAUAGUCGGCAGCCAACUAUUUUGUAAUUGUCGAUAACUUCUGCCCGGUGUUCUUAAUAAACGGCCGCAGUACCUUGACUGUGUUAAGGUAGCAUAAUCAAUUGGCUAUUAAUUGUAGUCUAGUAUGAAUGAAGUAAUGGAUAGUAGCUAUAAUAAAAAAUUUUUUUUUAAUUUAAUGAACUGGUGAAAAUACCAGUGAUAAGAAAAAAGACGAGAAGACCCUUAGAGUUUUUAAUAAAGUUUGAUAAGACUUUGAUGAUACCAUCUUAAAGUAUAUAAUACAGAACACUUUUUUGUUGGGGCGGCAAGAAAGCAUUGAAACCUUCCUAAUUACUCUAAAAUAUUAGCAUCAGAUCUGCGAUAUUUUUAUGAUUAGGU
rnacentral:rRNA from 1 species